CAAGGUAGCAUAAUCACUUGUCUUUUAAUUGGAGGCUAGAAUGAAAGAGGCGACGAAAUUUAGACUAUUUAAAUUAUAAAAUUAAAUUGACAUAAAGGUUAAAAGGCUUUUAUAUAUCAAAGGGACGACAAGACCCUAUAAAACUUUACUAUAAGGAUAAAUUACUUAGAUUGAUUAAAAACUAUAGUUUGACUGGGGCGGUUUAUAUAAAAACAAUUGGAAUAUAAAUAUUUUAAAUAUAUCUAGAGAACUCUGUAAAGAAAUGAUUAAGUUACUUUAGGGAUAACAGCAUAAUUCUCCUAGAGAGUCCUAAUUGGCAGGAGAGCUUAUGACCUCGAUGUUGAAUUGGGGUGUCUGAUGUAAGUAGAAAUAUAUUAAGAUGGUCUGUUCGACCUUUAAAUCCCC
rnacentral:rRNA from 1 species